rnacentral:tRNA from 1 species
GGAGGGAUGCCCGAAUUGGCUAAGGGCCCGGCCUCGAAAGCCGAGGGUGGCCUUCCGGCCAUGCGGGUUCGAGUCCCGCUCCCUCCGCCA